UACGGAGGGUGCAAGCGUUGCUCGGAAUUAUUGGGCGUAAAGGGUAGGUAGGUGGUCUCAUUUGUCUGGGGUGAAAGCCUUGAGCUUAACUCAAGAAGUGCCCCAGAAACGGUGAGACUAGAGUCCUGGAGAGGGUCGUGGAAUUCCCGGUGUAGCUGUGAAAUGCGUAGAGAUCGGGAGGAACACCAGAGGCGAAGGCGGCGACCUGGACAGGAACUGACACUCAACUACGAAAGCGUGGGGAGCAAACAGG
rnacentral:rRNA from 1 species